rnacentral:lncRNA from 1 species
GCCUCUCCCAGUGUGCCUUCUUCCUGAGCAGCCAAGGAAUUCUGAGACAGUUUGGACAGGUUCUUAGCAUAUUCCUCCUCAAUCUUUAUCCUUUCUCGAACGAACUCUGCCAUUUCUUUCUGCAUUUGUUUCCCUUUAAGUUGCUUUUGAAGAAGAAUUUCAAAUCCUGACACCGUAUUGUUCCCCUGUGAAUCCUUCUUAUCAGCCCAGAAAUAAUCACAGUAGCUCCACUCUGAAGGUUUCAACAACUGCUGCUCUGGCAUUAUGUCAGGGUGGGGGAAAGUUACACAGUUUAUCUGGGGGUCCCCACUGGCUUUUCGGAGAUUCAUGUGAGCAGAGUCUAGUUGAUGUACCGGGGUCCCAGAAAUGUGGUAGCCAUUCACUGCUG